UGAAGAAGAAGAACAGACGUAAACAAUGAGUACGUCGCAGAGAUUCAUUCAAACGAGAGGUCCACUGACGGUUCAACCACAGCGUCAGAAAUGCCGAUAUGGAGGUGGACUACAAGUAGAACCACAAAAAUCUCAAACGCAAAUUGAAAUUCAUGGUUUAUGAGUAGGAGUGUUUUCAGGAAGUGCUCAGAAGAUCCCAGAAGAAGCUGCUCAAAGUGUCCAGAGAUAAAAGUUUUCUGUUGGACCGAUUGUUACAGUACGAGCGGGUGGACGAGGACUCCUCAGAUUCUGAUGCCACAGCCUCUUCUGAGAACAAUGAAGGAGAGGGCACCAGGGAGAGGGAGAGAGACGGAGGAAAGAAGAGAAGUAGCCCUGGCAUAGGCCUUCCUUCAUCCUCCCAUCUCUCUCUCCUCUCUCGUUCUGGAGUGAACCCUCUCCAGUCGUCCGGCAGUACCCCGUACCUCAACACAGUGAGUUAUUAUCGCCUUCCCCUCACUGAAUCUAUACAAUCAAUAACUAUAACAUCAUUGAUUGUUGCCAUUAUCGUUUUCUCAUUACCGAAGAUAAUCACUGUUUUGAUUUGGGGCAUUAUUAAUAUUGUUUUAUUAUAUGUUUACUGUAUCUUUUGCUGUCUAUCAUGUUUUAUUUUUCGGGACUGUACCUACAGUGUGUGUGUGUGUGUAUGUUUGUUUUGGAAAUUGUCACUGUGUGUGUGUGUGUGUGUGGUGGGAAGUUGCCCUUCCCACCAGAGUAUUUGCCUCCACCAGCUGAGAGAAUGAAGAAAGAGAGAAAGACAAAGGCGCCCAAACACAAGAAAGAGACAUCGGGGAAGGUGGUGGCCCCUUUAGCAGCCAACAACCCAACGGGCCCGACUGCCCCUCCCACAUCCAGCGCCUCGUUCAACUGGGUGCCCAGGCAGAUGCUGAGUGGAGACGCGGCGGAGGAGGAGGGAGAGAGUGACGGAGACUCAGACAGUGGAGACAACGCCAGGGGGGAAGGAGAAGAGGCUGACCUUGUCAUCGAUAUCCCCAACAAGUGAAGUGAAGUGUGUGUGUGUGUGUGUGUGUAAAGGAUUGUUUGAAAGAGUGUGUAAGACCAUAAUGUGACUCUGUGGAUUCAACCCCUCCCACUGUCAAAUGCUUAGCCAAGCUCCCCCCAGUGGACCUUCAGGUUACUGCAACAAUAUCUCUCUAAGCAAUGUGACCUGUCAUAAUAAUGUUACUAAUUGACUCCUUUAAUGUAAUUUUACUGCCUUCUACUGUUAUACAAGUCAUGGAAGAAAUGGUAUUGAAGGCAUGGACAGCUACAGGACUGCAUACAUGUAGCACCUACCUUUUUAUAGGAAACUGUCAAAUAAUGAAUUUUCUGUUGGAGAUAAUGGAGAUGUUAUGUUUUCUACCAAUGACUUUUCAAAAUGUAAUUGCAUUAAAUUAGUAACAUUUC